rnacentral:rRNA from 1 species
UACGUAGGGGGCGAGCGUUGUCCGGAAUCAUUGGGCGUAAAGCGUUCGUAGGCGGUAAAGUAAGUCAGAUGUUUAAAGCCCGGGGCUCAACUCCGGUUCGGCAUUUGAUACUACUUAACUGGAAUGCGGUAGAGGUAAAGGGAAUUCCUGGUGUAGCGGUGAAAUGCGUAGAUAUCAGGAGGAACAUCGGUGGCGAAAGCGCUUUACUGGGCCGUUAUUGACGCUGAGGAACGAAAGCCGGGGGAGCAAA